UACGGGGGGGGCAAGCGUUGUUCGGAAUUACUGGGCGUAAAGGGCUCGUAGGUGGCCAACUAAGUCAGACGUGAAAUCCCUCGGCUUAACCGGGGAACUGCGUCUGAUACUGGAUGGCUUGAGUUCGGGAGAGGGAUGCGGAAUUCCAGGUGUAGCGGUGAAAUGCGUAGAUAUCUGGAGGAACACCGGUGGCGAAGGCGGCAUCCUGGACCGACACUGACACUGAGGCACGAAAGCUAGGGUAGCGAACGGG
rnacentral:rRNA from 1 species